rnacentral:rRNA from 1 species
UACAGGGGGUGCAAACGUUGCUCGGAAUCAUUGGGCGUAAAGCGCACGUAGGCGGUUUGUUAUGUCGGAUGUGAAAGCCCUUGGCUCAACUGAGGAAGUGCAUCCGAAACUGGCAAGCUAGAGUACUAAAGAGGAUCGCGGAAUUUCCGGUGUAGCGGUGAAAUGCGUAGAUAUCGGAAGGAACACCAGUGGCGAAAGCGGCUUCCUGGUCCAGCACCGACGUUCAGGCACGAAAGCGUGGGGAGCAAACAGG